GUGUCUAGAAAAGAAAGGAAAAAAGGGGAGAUCUGUAGUGUUUCCAGACUUAUUUAGCGCCUUGCCCCCAGCCAACAUCUGCUUUCCUAGCUGGCAAAGGAGCCCUGGGUGCCUCAGUUGCACAGACUGAUCCAAGAGGGCAGCCAAAGCACCAGGAGUAACACCAGCUUUCAGUGCAGCCAAAGAACACGGGCAAGACUGAAGCAGACAGCGAGCUGAUGUAUGCAUAGGACUGAUCCUGUUUUAAAAUAUGCUCAGGCACAAGAAGACCCUUCCUUGAAAGAGCAAGGAAGUCAACUCUCAAGACUGUUGCCUCUUAACCACAAAACUGUGGUUAAAGCCAGAUCCACUUUUAAGUCUUGCAUCGCAGAGAAUCGUCUAUUGGUCAUUACCUAUAGAUUAAUAGACCAAUAUACAAGAGUGCCAUCAAGCAAAGGAAACUGUUUGACUUUGUUCAGUUUAGUCAGAAACACUACUGUCACGUAUAAUAUCCACUACAGAGGUGUUGAAGUGGCCAUGGCCCAAACAACGUUUGUUCUGCAGCAGUAAGGAAGGAAAAAACGCCUUGAAACAGAUCCUUACCCUACGUGUAACCACAAAAUCAGCUCACAUAUCAGGCAGCUAAUUUUUUUUCUGGGAUCUGUCACAAGCAACCCACACCUGCGCUCCUGGCAGCUCCUCACGCCACCUUGCCCUAUGAACGUACAGGCGACGUGGCAGUCGGAGAACAAACACAGAGAUAAAAAAAAUAAUUAAGAAAGUCAGUCUGGUGAAACAGUAGAGCAAACAAAGGAGAGACUUCACCCAGACGUGAUAGCAACUGCCAGCCUGCCCAAGAAACCGGAGGAGGAAGGAGGGAGCAAUAUUGUAGAAAAACAGGAAGCAUUGCCCUUCUCUGCGCAGAAAGCGGCUCUCAUGCACAGGAAACUUUCCAAGUAAGAGCCACCCCGCAUUAGAGAGCAGAAAUGAUGACGGCACUAGCAUUUGGUGGUCAUCACCUGGCCUUCCUCACCAUUAGAUGUUUCCAAAGAUCUUUAGAGUCCCCAGCCAUGCAAUGCUACCACGCUGUGCCAGGACACAAGAAGCAGAAAGUGUGACCUAGCUGUCACAGUGGCUCCGUUUCCUGCGUGGAAGAGUUGUGGGACAGAAAACCAGAAUAUUUGUGUGUUCACUGGUGCAAACCGGAUUACAUCGCUCUCUUUCCUCUUCAUGUCCCUCCAUUACUCACAUCACCCUUUAAGCCAACAGACAGUGUGGGACCACCACAAAGUUGACUACCAUCAUCUCCAUCACAGAAAAAGGGCUAAGAAGAUUCAGCCUCUUUUCAACUAUUCUGAUCUGACAGAGCUGAUGUAGCCAUGGAGUUUGCUCCAUCUUUCUUUAUCUCCCAAAGCAAAAUUUAUUGUUCUAGUCUUUUUCACUUGGUUUACCCAGGACAAGUAUGAGUCUUGGAAAGCACAUGUGCUCCAGCCUAAUGCCAAGUAGGUCACACCUACCAGAUGUAUCCCCAUUGCUGCCCAAGAUAGUGUUGGGUCUUCUGUUACUACCUGCCCAAGGGAACACCUGCGCUAGGAAAUCCAGCAGCCUCGUUAAAGCCCCUUGUGACCGAGCUCUUCAAGGGGCAGUGUUUGUGCAGACCUGCUGUUCACGCUUUUUGAAGUGUCAGAGCAUUCCCAACUCAUCACUCCCUGAAGGGGGGGGACUGCCAAAAAGCAAGGAGCAGCGAGAAGAUGGCACGGUUGGCCAUUCUGCAUGUAAUUUACAGUUCACUUUCUGCAUUAGUGAAUGAGCCGCCUUUGUGAUAGUGCUGAAAAGAGCUUCUCAAGUGCCACAAGAUUCACCAUGCUGGAAGCAGGGACAGCACCACUGCUUUAGAAGCUGCCUCUGGCUCUUACGUUCAGCCACUCACAUGGGCAUUGACAGAGUCCCAGGGAUACCAGAACCAUAACGGUGGCCUGGCAACCCCAUAACCUACCCUCAUGAACUCAUCACAUCCAACUGCUAGACACACUGAGCUUGUCUGCUUCAAGCCCUUCUAAAUGUAGGAGAAAAGCUGUUCUCUAUUAGCGUAGUAACCACUUCAUCCUUCCUCAGGAAAACACCUCUCACCCAAUUGCUUGCCUGUAUUUGAGUAGACAUUACCUGGCAUAACUACCCUCCCAGCUACCACCAGAAAUUCUGCCUUUCACGUGCCUGAGCAAGCUACCUAAGGUCUGCUGUGAUUUUCCUGGGCAGGAUUAAGCGGGUUUCCAGCUCACACGCUGACUGGAUGAUCUCCUUUAACUCACACGCAAGGACCCGAUACCCUUGUGAACAUUACAGAUGUCCUUAGUCCUUCCUGCUAUCCGACAUGGUUGACCCAGGAAUUCCCAUAUCCUCUUUCUGACCAUAGCAAGGUCACACCACUGCAGCUUCAAGAUCUUUUUUUCAAGUCCACAUUGUCCAUAGAGCACUUUGCCCUUCACCUGUGAAGAUGACAUUUGUUGAUGUGUUCUUCAGUCCUAUCAUGCUCCUUACAUCCAGCAUCCACGUUGAGUAGCAGCGGGAGGCUGAAUCUUCCUGGACUUGACAGACUACUGCAAGGCUGAUGACAACCAGCAUUAACUGCACAUCAGAUGUGAGAAGAGCUGUUUCCCAACUUUCCCUGGACUUCAUUCAAAGCAACAGCUGGUUCAGACAAACUCCUGAGAAAGCUUAGCUUUCUGCCAACCAAGAAAAUCUCACCAUUUCAUAGAAGGCAUAUGCUCUCAGAUUGAAAGACAACCUGCUGUUGCUGCAGUCAUCCGGACUCUUCCAUGUUUUGGAUACUUAUGAGAAACACCUCCCCUUUCCAUCUCCUGACGGAAAGAUGACAUCCAAUCUCAAUUUGAAUUUUGAUGAGUCAAGAGCCUCAGACCUCUAGACACCUCUCUCUGGUGCAGCAUGAAACCUUUGGUGUUUCAGGGCAUAGCAGCAGUGUGCACUUCUGACAGCACAUCGCAAUUGGGGCUCCAUUCUCUUCACUACUUCCUUGGAAUCUUCAGUUCAAGACGGGAUUCAGUCUUCACUAUCAGGGUCCUCCUGCUUCCACUGAAGAACCCCACCAUGCUUUACGGAGCUCUUUCCUAUCUAGUCCUUUUGCUAUUGAUUUGCUAAGAAAAUGUCUGUCUACAGAGGGAAGAGGAGCUCACUUCCAGAGGUGGAUGCAAACGGGCUCCUGCAUCUCUCACGCUACUUCCUAAAGUUUCUGUUUGUACCAAAACUAUGCCCCACUGUUGCCUUUGCACCCCAGGUUGGCGCCAGGCAGCCAAAAGACCCAACGAUCUGUCAGGACACAUCAGACUCCUAAGCACAGUACCUGCAUGAACAGAUGUGAGGCGGGUGCUAGCUCUCUGUCUGUGUCAUAAUAUCCUGUUUUGUAGAUACUGCUAGAGCAGCAAGACUAAGAAAACAAGAUUAAGAUGUUGUCUGAAAUGCUGAUUUGAAGACUCAAAAUUAAUAACCUCGGUCAAUAAAGUGAUACAACAC